GCAGGGUUGAGGUAGUAGUUAACCUGCCUGAUUCCCACCACCUGCUAUCACAUCACAAACACCAUUUUCUUGCCUACCUCCUGCCAUCUGUCUCCCCACAAGGGAAGUGGAGCAAAAGGAAAGGAAGAUAGAUAGCCUGGGACAAAAUCAGGAUACACGGGUGCAAAUCCCGUACUCUGCA